AACACAUUCGGCCCGUCGAUCUACCAAGCAAUAUCACCCGAUCGGUGGAAGAUCUUCCCUCAGUCGU
rnacentral:pre_miRNA from 1 species